GAUGAACGCUGGCGGCGUGCUUAACACAUGCAAGUCGAGCGAUGAAGUUUCCUUCGGGAAACGGAUUAGCGGCGGACGGGUGAGUAACGCGUGGGUAACCUGCCUCAUACAGGGGGAUAGCAGUUGGAAACGACUGAUAAUACCGCAUAAGCGCACAGCAUCGCAUGAUGCAGUGUGAAAAACUCCGGUGGUAUGAGAUGGACCCGCGUCUGAUUAGCUAGUUGGUGGGGUAAAAGCCUACCAAGGCGACGAUCAGUAGCCGGCCUGAGAGGGUGAACGGCCACAUUGGGACUGAGACACGGCCCAA
rnacentral:rRNA from 1 species